rnacentral:rRNA from 1 species
UACGGGAGGCAGCAGUAGGGAAUAUUGCUCAAUGGGGGAAACCCUGAAGCAGCAACGCCGCGUGGAGGAUGACACUUUUCGGAGCGUAAACUCCUUUUGUUAGGGAAGAACAAUGACGGUACCUAACGAAUAAGCACCGGCUAACUCCGUGCCAGCAGCCGCGGUAAU